UACAUUGAUGGGAGAAACGUUAUU
rnacentral:snRNA from 1 species